AACGAACGCUGGCGGCAUGCCUAACACAUGCAAGUCGAACGAGACCUUCGGGUCUAGUGGCGCACGGGUGCGUAACGCGUGGGAACCUGCCCUUAGGUUCGGAAUAACUCCCCGAAAGGGGUGCUAAUACCGGCUAAUGUCUUCGGACCAAAGAUUUAUCGCCUUUGGAUGGGCCCGCGUUGGAUUAGCUAGUUGGUAGGGUAAAAGCCUACCAAGGCGACGAUCCAUAGAUGGUCUGAGAGGAUGAUCAGCCACACUGGGACUGAGACACGGCCCAGACUACUACGGGAGGCAGCAGUGGGGAAUAUUGGACAAUGGGCGAAAGCCUGAACCAGCAAUGACGCGUGAGUGAUGAAGGCCUUAGGGUUGUAAAGCUCUUUUACCCGGGAUGAUAAUGACAGUACCGGGAGAAUAAGCGCCGGCUAACUCCGUG
rnacentral:rRNA from 1 species